rnacentral:rRNA from 1 species
ACUCAAAGGAAUAGACGGGGACCCGCACAAGCGGCGGAGCAUGCGGAUUAAUUCGAUGCAACGCGAAGAACCUUACCAAGGCUUGACAUAUACGAGAACGGGCCAGAAAUGGUCAACUCUUUGGACACUCGUAAACAGGUGGUGCAUGGUUGUCGUCAGCUCGUGUCGUGAGAUGUUGGGUUAAGUCCCGCAACGAGCGCAACCCUCGUUCUAUGUUGCCAGCACGUAAUGGUGGGAACUCAUGGGAUACUGCCGGGGUCAACUCGGAGGAAGGUGGGGAUGACGUCAAAUCAUCAUGCCCCUUAUGUCUUGGGCUUCACGCAUGCUACAAUGGCCGGUACAAAGGGCUGCAAUACCGUAAGGUGGAGCGAAUCCCAAAAAGCCGGUCCCAGUUCGGAUUGAGGUCUGCAACUCGACCUCAUGAAGUCGGAGUCGCUAGUAAUCGCAGAUCAGCAACGCUGCGGUGAAUACGUUCCCGGGUCUUGCACACACCGCCCGU